rnacentral:misc_RNA from 1 species
GAGAGAGGGGCUUCGCGCCCCCGGGGGUUUCGGCCCCCAACUCUUCACCCAUUGUUUACCUACCUUUGUUGCUUUGGCGGACCCCGGGGCUCCUCCCGCGCUGGCUUUCGGGCCGGCGAGCGUCCGUCAGAGGCCCAUCAAACUCUGUUUUAUUAGCGAUGUCCGAGUACUAAAACAAUAGUAAAAACUUUCAACAACGGAUCUCUUGGUUCC